rnacentral:lncRNA from 1 species
UGGAUUCAAGUUGGAAGAGGGUAAAACGAACAAAUGUUUAAUUAAGGAACAAAUGUUAGAUCAAUUGGAAUAGCUUAUGAAAAAGAUAAUGGUAGAUAAACAUAAGAAAUUGAAUUAGAAAACAGCGUGAUGAUGGUGAUGGCCGUGCUGUUGGGUGGUGGCGAUUACAAUUGUAGCGGCAGUGAGUAGUGACAAUGGCGAUGGCAAUGGUCGUGGCGGUAGCGGUGGUUGCAAUAACAGUGUAACGGUGGUGGAGAUGAUGGUGGUGGUGGUGN